UACGUAGGGGGCGAGCGUUGUCCGGAUUUAUUGGGCGUAAAGAGCUCGUAGGCGGUUUGGCAAGUCGGGUGUGAAAACUCCGGCUCAACUCGGAGACGCCACUCGAUACUGCCAUGACUCGAGUCCGGUAGGGGAGUGCGGAAUUCCUGGUGUAGCGGUGAAAUGCGCAGAUAUCAGGAGGAACACCGGUGGCGAAGGCGGCACCGUCUGGGCCGGUACUGACGCUGAGGAGCGAAAGCGUGGGGAGCGAACAGG
rnacentral:rRNA from 1 species